GGGGGACAGAGACCCUGUCAAGAAAAAAAAAAAUUGUUUUCUUUUGCGCUCUCUUAUAUUUUUCUAAAUCUCUCUCCACUUCCCUGAGUCAGAGGUUCCCCAGACUGGCAACUGGAUCAGCCCCAGAGAAAGCCAGGAUUGCUCACUGCUGGGGAAGGGGCUCUACAGAGACUGCAAUAUUGUGGUGCCACUCCCCUUGCUGCCAUCUCCCUGAAGAGAGACAGCGGUUCCUACCUAGUCUUUAUUGUAAUACGGAUAACAAUAGAAGCAGGUGGGUCUUAUUAUUUCCAUUCUACACGUGAAGAGUCUGAGGCUCAGAGGUCAGCCUGCCAAAGUCACACACACAGCUGGGGAGCUUGCUGGACUCCACAGGCCACGCAUCUUCCAUGAGGCCACACUACCUCUUUGAAAAUAAAGCUACAGAGCAAAAACACUAACAUUUUACCUCCUA